UAAAUUGACAGAGCUUUCGCUACCUAUGGUAGCAAAAUGAAUGUCUUCGAAAUUUUCCAAUAGGGGUAAUGAUGAGUAAAUCCGAGACCCGCGUUUCGGAAUCCGAGCCCAAGACUUUUGUCAAAUUCCAGAAUCCAUACCCGUGCUAGGCAACACAAGCUCACUGUAUUGAGAACUGGACAGGACAAGAAAACCCGGCACCUUCCCCACUUCUCUUUAGAACCCUAAUAAUGACGGACGCAUUUCGAGAGACCAAAGCGAUAUUAUUCGACGAGAGAAAGAUGUUGAAAACUUCACCACAAAAAUCAAGCAAGAAGAUUACUAUUUUAUGGAAAGAACCUGGGGCAGGUUCCUGAAAGGCCAAAUAACUUGAACCUAAAUCAGCGCCAGUCCCAGGUGCAAAUUCGCUAAAUUUCUAUGGAUAACUCACCCUUCUGGAAAGCCAAGUAAUCCCCCGAUUUAUUAAUCCUGGAUUGAGCGGGUAAAAAACUGGUUUGACGAGUAAAAUUCACACAGGGCGCAACUCAAAUUUACCUUGAUGGUUUUAUAUUCAUAAAGAAGCCCCAAAAUCACCUCUACAUCGCCUGUAAUCACCUCAAUUUCAUUGCCAAAAAUGUCAUUUGCAAGUCAAUGUGCUGCGUGAGGUGCUGGCGCAUGUUUGCACGGGGCUUUAGAGCACAAUUCCAAGUAAAGGGUUAAGGGCAAAAAGCGCUCCUCGGAUAAUGGUAAGUAGGGUUGCCGAAGAUGUUUAUCCGGAAGUUUCCGACGGAAUGUUUGGGUAUGCGUUUUCGUUGCACAAAAUUAUAAUUAAUUUAAAUAACAUAAUUAAUUCGGUAACGGCAGAGAGAAUGCACAUAGCGUAAAAAGGAUGACUUCCACGGAGAGGGAGGGGGGAAGGGAGCUGAAACCACCUACUCCCCUUUGGUAAGAUCUUCUAGACACGAAUUUGCAAAUAUCUGUUCCGCAGAUGUUAGACCCCUCGAGUUGCUAGGAAAACAAUUGUCCCGAAUGGUUCUGCUGGCAAAUUUUGUGGAGUCGAAAUAGUUGUGCUGGGUCAAUAUUUUUGGGGGGCGCUGUAGAGGAUGCUUGGGAAAAAAACUCGUUCCGACUGGUUAUACGGGCAAUUAUUUAUUAUUCAGCAAAUUCCAGCAAUGGUAUAAUACUGAGAAAUCCGAAUCUGGCUUCUGCCGUUCGGCAGAUUUGAUUAUUUUGUAAACAUGCUUGCAUGUGAAGCAGCAGCUUAUGAACUAUCAGAAUAUAUCAGUUUUUUAGCCUUCAUUUAUUUGCUUACUAACUAGGGACGAGGGUUACAGCUCACAAUCUUUAUUGAUAUAGGUAAACAAUAAAAAGAUGUGACAAACUACCAGCAAUCCGGGUAGAUUGCAUGAUAUAUAAUUUUCAUUUAAAUAAAAUCAUUCAAUAUAUAGUGCAUUAUAAAGUGCAUAAUAUUGUUAUAAUAUGAUUACUAUUAACAAAUAAUAAAACAAAAUGAGCUGUA